UCAAUAAGAAGUGGUGCUGUGAAGAGAACAAUAGUCAGACUGAAUGUUGAACAUCAGCUGCUUCCUCCUGCUGAUUUAAACCUUGGUGGACAGAUGGAACAUUGGCUGUGGAUUAUUCUGGCUGCUCUUUUCUCUGAGUGUAAAGGAGACUCAGUGAAGCAGACAGAAGGAGAAGUUGUUGCUGCUGCAGGAGAAUCACUGACUCUGAGAUGUACCUAUGAGACAAUCUCUGUGACGCCUACAUUGAUUUGGUACAAGCUGGAGGAAAACAGUUUUCCACAGUACAUACUGAAGCAACAAACAUUGACAACAUAUAAAGCUCUAGAUUUCGACAGCAGUAGAUUUGAUGCUAACCUCAAUAAAACCAACAAAUCCUUCAACCUGAAGAUCCAGGAUCUCCGCCUGUCAGACUCUGCUGUGUACUACUGCGCUCUGCAGCCCACAGUGACAGGAAACACCAGAACCCUGUACAAAAACCUGCAGUUCUCCACAGCAGCCACUAGAGGGCCCCAUAAUUCGGACUGCAUUAACAUGAGGUGCAGCUGCUGGAACCAAACUAACCUGAAGCAGCAGCAUCUUCACCUGGUUCCUCUCCAACAGUUCGAAGUGGGAGAAAUCAGUGGAAACCAGUGGAACCAGUUAGGAUGACCAGUUAGGAAACCCACUGGUGUGUCAAAGAUAAACUUCCAUACAUUUAGUCGUUUUAACUCCACUGAUAAUUGAUCCAACAGUCUGUGAAUGUUUCUUUACUGCUGCUUUAUAACAAACAUCUGUGAAAGUUUUUGUUUAAAGAAAUUGAAGGACUUUUAUUCUGAAAAGCUCCAAAGAGUCUGAUCCUCUCCUAGCCUCUGUUCCUGUAAAUCAGCUGCUGUUACUGACUGAAGACAUUUAUCAGCCUGGAUCCUUGCAGCUCAGUGCUUUUACGGCCAUGUUCUAACCAAGGAAGCUCCGGCAUUGCCACCCUGUUACCAUCAUUUACCUGAUUGAUCAAAUAUGGAGGCCAUAAACUGCUAAAACGGGGUAAAAAUUGUAACUUCAAUCCAAUUUGGCCAACUUCCUGCCUGUUUCAUGUAGAUAAUUUCUGCAAGAGUUU